CCUACGUGCGGCAGCAGUAGGGAAUCUUCCACAAUGGGCGAAAGCCUGAUGGAGCAACGCCGCGUGGGUGAAGAAGGUCUUCGGAUCGUAAAACCCUGUUGUUAGAGAAGAAAGUGCGUGAGAGUAACUGUUCACGUUUCGACGGUAUCUAACCAGAAAGCCACGGCUAACUACGGGCCAGCAGCCGCGGUAAUACGUAGGUGGCAAGCGUUAUCCGGAGUUAUUGGGCUUAAAGGGAACGCAGGCGGUCUUUUAAGUAUGAUGUGAAAGCCUUCGGCUUAACCGGGGUAGUGCAUUGGAAACUGGGAGACUUGAGUUCAGAAGAGGAGAGUGGAACUCCAUGUGUAGCGGUGAAAUGCGUAGAUAUAUGGAAGAACACCAGUGGCGAAAGCGGCUCUCUGGUCUGUAACUGACGCUGAGGUUCGAAAGCGUGGGUAGCAAACAGGAUUAGAUACCCGAGUAGUC
rnacentral:rRNA from 1 species